rnacentral:lncRNA from 1 species
CAGCAUUAUAGUUGAACUAUGUGCGCAAUGCGUCGCGUUCCUCUGUGUUUGUGCAAAUACCAGAUGUGUAGGGUAUUACAUGAGCGCCAUGUACAUUAGGGAUGGAGUGCAUGCAUUAGGGAUAAGUGAAGUGGAAUAGUGGCCUGGAUUUUACACGAAUCACGCACGCACAUAGUAGCCUAGGAGCCAUUCGGUCGGUACUAGUUACGCGUUCCUCAUCCUUUGGGUCGGAUCUCGGGAGGUGACGUUCUGUUAUUCUUCUGUGAAUCUAAAACUCCGUGACCACGCAGACGCUUCGACGCAGUCAUGAACCUUGCAAAGAGUACCUGAGACACUCAGGGAGUGAACGCGGAUUGGCUAAUACCCCCUCAGAAGCAGUUAUAUAGAAAUUAGAAGAUAAAAAGAAAAUACCGUGUUAUAAUACCGUUAUCGUCUAUGCCUCAAAUCAUACCUUGAUAUAAAUUGUAGUCCAUACUGUACAGCCCUCGUUGUAGCCUACAUCUCAUCGACACAUUGAUUCACGGAGUAAUUUAACUAAACUUUGAAAGAGAUUUGACAACAGAAUCCGAGCCCCAAUCUGUGAGAUUUUGUCAAGAGUCCUAUUUAUAUUAUAAACACUAAAGGGAAACGCACAGUCCUGGUUGAUUGCAACACCAAAGAGCAAGGCAUGUUGGUGUGGCCAGAGAGCUGUCUCAACCACAGUGUUGUCACUGGUUUAAUGGCCUUCCUCCUUUGGGAAGUGCACCCUGUGCUUCAGUCAUUCUUGUGUAGAAUAUAACAAGAAUGGUUAUUGAGCAAUUUGUUGGUCGGACGAUUACAAUAAUGGUGAUUCGAUUAUUUUAUUUAUUCCCUGCAUUUUUUUGACUAAGAUGUAACUAGUAAUCACUAUCAUACAUCUAAUUUUUGUUAAUGAAUGUAGAAAUCAUUCUAAUUAUGUUUUUUUGUCUUUGUUACAGAUUAUUUACAAGAUAGCUUUCCAAAAAAGACAAACAAAGGCACUUUUAAGAGCCAUUCUCUCUCUCUCUCUCUCUCUCACACUUUCUCUCUCUUUCUCACACUCACAGACACACACACACACACACACACACACACACACACACACACACACACACACACACACACACACACACACACACACACAAACACACUCCUGUAUUUUAUCUGUAUUGUGUGUCAAUUGUCCAGCGAUGUUCAAAAACCAGAAGGUUUGUUCUGAUGCCGUUGAGAUCAGGGACCAUAUGGCUUCUGAAAUCAGUAAUGCGCUACUCCUUGAGGCCCGGGCAGCAAUGGGAGACUCCCACUUUCCUCCAAAAAAAAAGAGGAGAAAGAAGAGUGCAGUCAAAAAAAAGAAAGUGGUCACGAGCCGACUUCAGAAACAUCAGAAAUCACCCAGACGUGCAUCAGCUUCCGUGAACCCAGUGAGUGAGGAAGUCCAGCUCGAAGGAAUUGAAU